GCCCAUAGCGGCGGCUCAACAGUGCAGUCGAGCGGUAGCACAGGAGAGCUUGCUCUCUGGGUGACGAGCGGCGGACGGGUGAGUAAUGUCUGGGAAACUGCCUGAUGGAGGGGGAUAACUACUGGAAACGGUAGCUAAUACCGCAUAACGUCUUCGGACCAAAGUGGGGGACCUUCGGGCCUCACGCCAUCAGAUGUGCCCAGAUGGGAUUAGCUAGUAGGUGGGGUAAUGGCUCACCUAGGCGACGAUCCCUAGCUGGUCUGAGAGGAUGACCAGCCACACUGGAACUGAGACACGGUCCAGACUCCUACGGGAGGCAGCAGUGGGGAAUAUUGCACAAUGGGCGCAAGCCUGAUGCAGCCAUGCCGCGUGUGUGAAGAAGGCCUUCGGGUUGUAAAGCACUUUCAGCGAGGAGGAAGGGUUCAGUGUUAAUAGCACUGUGCAUUGACGUUACUCGCAGAAGAAGCACCGGCUAACUCCGUGCCAGCAGCCGCGGUAAUACGGAGGGUGCAAGCGUUAAUCGGAAUUACUGGGCGUAAAGCGCACGCAGGCGGUUUGUUAAGUCAGAUGUGAAAUCCCCGCGCUUAACGUGGGAACUGCAUUUGAAACUGGCAAGCUAGAGUCUUGUAGAGGGGGGUAGAAUUUCCAGGUGUAGCGGUGAAAUGCGUAGAGAUCUGGGAGGAAUACCGGUGGCGAAGGUUGCCCCCCUGGACAAAGACUGACGCUCAGUGCGAAAGCGUGGGGGAGCAACCUGGAUUAG
rnacentral:rRNA from 1 species